UUCGGGAGGGCGUUUACCACGGUGUGGUUCAUGACUGGGGUGAAGUCGUAACAAGGUAACCGUAGGGGAACCUGCGGUUGGAUCACCUCCUUACGAAGA
rnacentral:rRNA from 1 species